rnacentral:RNase_P_RNA from 1 species
GUGAAUUGUAGUCUAUCGCUGCAGAUCUUAAUGAUUUGUGGAGGAAAGUCCGGACAAAGCAGACAACAUGCCACCUAACGGGUGGGCUUCCCUGGUAGAGGAAGACAGCUAGUGUCACAGAAAAUAACCGCCCAGAUUCUGGGUAAGGGUGAAAAAGGGAGGUAAGAGCUCCUACAGUUUGCAGGCAACUGGAAACUGGGAUAAACCUCAUGUUUUGAAAUGCCAAGUAUAUCCAUUCAUUCUUCGGAAUGCCUGUGUCUGGAGGGUUCUUUUGAACGAUGGAAGGGUAGGCAGAUGGAGACUAGUCAGUAAUGAUUAGUACAGAUAAAUGAUAGAUACCGAUUUUUCGGAGACAGAAUCCGGCUUAUUCAAUUCACUACC